rnacentral:misc_RNA from 1 species
AACUUUUAGCAAUGGAUCACUUGGCUCUCGCAUCGAUGAAGAACGCAGCGAAAUGCGAUACGUAAUGUGAAUUUCAGAAUUCAGUGAAUCAUCGAAUCUUUGAACGCACCUUGCGCCCCUUGGAAUUCCGAGGGGCACACCCGUUUGAGUGUCGUGAACAUCCUUCAACCUUUCUUGGUUUCUUGACCGGGGAAGGCUUGGACUUUGGGGGUCUUUCAUUGCUGGCCUCUUUGAAGCCAGCUCCUCCUAAAUGUAUUAGUGUGGUCUGCUUUGCCGAUCCUUGACGUGAUAAGAUGUUUCUACGUCUUGGGUUUCGCACUGUCGCUUUAGACCCCGCUUCUAACCGUCUUGCAUUCAAGACAGAGUUUUAAACCUUGACCUCAAAUCGGGUGAGACUACCCGCUGAACUUAAGCAUAUCAAUAAGCGGAGGCU